rnacentral:lncRNA from 1 species
UUUCAGACUCAGCCCACCUGCACCAGGUGAUUAAAAAGCUUUAUUGCUCACACAAAUCCUGUUGGUGGACUCUCUUCACACGGAUGCACUUGACAUUUUGUGCUGAAGACCCAGGACAGGAGGACUCCUUCGAGAGACCAGUCCCCCAUCCUUGCCCUCACUCGGUGAGGAGAUCUACCUAUGACCUCAGGUCCUCAGACCAACCAGCCCAAGGAACAUCUCACCAAUUUCAGAUCGGAGACAGAGGAGAUGCAUUUUAUCUGUGAACUCAAAACUCCAGCGCUGGUCACAGACUCGGGAAGACAGUCUUCCCUUGGUGUUUAAUCACUGCGGGGACGCCUGCCUGAUUAUUCACCCACAUUUCAGAGGUGUCUGAUCACCAUGGGGAUGCCUGCCUUGAUCCUUCACCUUGGUGAUCUUCUCAGCUUAGCGGCUGAAGACUGACGCUGCCCGAUUGAUUGCCUGGGAAGCCUCCUGGACCAUCACAGACGCCUUGGGUAACUCUUACAGUGGAGGACAGGAAUGUCAGGCCGGCCUCUGAGCCCAAGCAUGCAUGUAUACAUCCAGAUGGCCUGAGGCAACUGAAGAACCACAAAAGAAGUGAAAAUGGCUAGUUCCUGCCUUAACUGAUGACAUUACCUUGUGACAUUCCUUCUCCGGGACAGUGAGUCUCCGGAGCUCCCCACUGAGCACCUUGUGACCCCCGCCCCUGCCCGCAAGAGAACAACCCCCUUUAACUGUAAUUUUCCACCACCUACCCAAAUCCUAAAAAACGGCCCCACUCCUAUCUCCCUUUGCUGACUCCUUUUUCGGACUCAGCCAACCUGCACCCAGGUGAUUAAAAAGCUUUAUUUCUCACCCAAA